GCCUAUGAUCUACAGUGCCCAUUCCAACUCAGAGAAUCUUUACAUCUGGAGAUCUAUAGCAGGGCUAUCCCUAGUGACAUGCGUGAAGAAGCUUGGAAAUGGUGCUGGGUAGGAGCUGAGUGUGCAGAAUGUGGAAAGGCAUUCUAAACCAAAGGAAGAACACGAGUAAAGAUGAUGAAGCAGGGAUAAGGCUAAAAUGAAAUUUGUGAUCUGAUCCACAUACAAGCACAGUGUAGUACAGCUGGAAUAUAGAGAAGAGCUUGAAGACUUAUGAGCAACUAUCCCGGUACUCUUGGAGGCUCUGCAACCACAGUUUGAGAAACUCCGCGUUCAAAGUUAAAAACUGUCACCUGAAUAGUUAAUAACAUCAAAGAUUGUGAAAGCAAGUAUAAAUAACACAGAGAUUAAAAUAAUGAGGCAGGAUCAGAAAAUGUCCAUUGCAAUCAGAAGCUCACCGAAUGUGCUUAGCUGAGUGGAGAAUGAUUUCUCGGUGUUGUAUUUGCUCUGAAGAGUCUGAAUUCUUGGGGAGGCAGAAGCUGGAAAAAACAAGAAGGAAGAUCUCCCAUAGAUUUUCAAGGUGCUGAGAAAACAGCUUCUAGACAUAUCUCGAAAGCCAAGUUUCUGAGAUGUAAUCAGAAAGCUGUAGUGGAAGGAAAUUUGAACCAGAAGACUGCAGUCCUGUCUAUGAACGUUAAACCUGUGUGGCUUAGGAAACGAGUCUAACCUCGUCUGAGCCUCAGUUUGUUCACCUAAAAGAUGGAGAUGAGAGCUCAUUUGUCUCAUUCUCAGGGGUUAUGGUGGCCAUCCAGACAUAAAGAAAUUAGAACGUUCAUUCAUCUGCAGAUGCUCACACAUUCCUACAGGAUGACUGAAACCCACAGCAAAC
rnacentral:lncRNA from 1 species